CGGGUAGGGAAAAAAGUACCUCGUGACCUGUUGUGAUGCAAAUAAGCUGCCAAAACGAGAGAGCUAUCGCCAACUUUGUACAGCUCGUUUCUGUAAAUAUGUGUUAGUAAUACUGGAGUGUAACAUGGCGGCGUUUCCAUUCAUUUAGGUUCAUCUCAGGACGAAUUAUUUUAACCUCCAGCAAUGAGAAGCGGGCGGUGAGUAUAGUGUAUACUGUGUGUUUGGCCUCGCGCCUGUCAAAUAGCGAUACUGACUUCACGUUCAUUUCACUCUGAGUAAUGGGAUUUAUCUCACCUGGCGCUUCAUGUCAAAUAAUUAUCAGAGUUUACGUUCAAAGUCUUGAUUUUACUAAAGGAAUAAGAUAAAAGAAUACACCGGAGUUACUUCGUAAGACAAUGAAACUGUUCCGUUGUUAGCGAGGUGCUAAUUUUAUUGUCCUUUCCAGAUAUCGCGAUACCACACGGUAUCACUGAUUGAAGCUCAGUGUACAACAGAUAUCGCGAUACUAACACGGAAUGUCUGACUGACAGAUGUGCUGCUAUUUAACAAUAGUUUUUUAAAGAUAAAAUACGUGUGAAAUUAGGGAUCUUUUUAGUCUGUGAAGAAUAAACAUACUUGUGAAUGUACCUAAAAAUGUUUUGCUGAAUGUCGCUGAAGAGUAGGAAAUAUCGCUGAAGAGUAAGGGAAUGUUGUUGAAAGUGUACUGAAAGUGUAAGGAAUACCCAACUGGACAGACUAUUACUCAUAUGUGUGGACUACUGAAUGUAGGGAGUACACUCACAUGCACAGAGUACUGACGUGUACUGAAUACUGAGUACUGAUGUGUGUGGAGUACUAAAUAUCGGCAGUACUGGCGUGUGCAUAGUACUGAUGUGCAGAAUACUGAAUCAUAUGGAGUACUGAUGUGGGCAGAAUACUGAAUGUAGGGAGUACAGAUGUGUGGAGUACAGAUGUGUGUGGAGUACAGAAUGUAGGGAGUAAAGAAGUGUGAGGAGAACAGA
ensembl:lncRNA